rnacentral:rRNA from 1 species
UGAACCUCCGGAAGGAUCAUUA